GUGCUGUUUAGGGCUAGUGGUCACUUGUAGCCCGCAAUGAACAGUUUUUACCUGUGUCGUUAAGCCUGAAAGGCUUCCUCUUCGUGGUGUGCGGAGAUGAGGCUGAAGUUAUGUGGCCGAAGCUCUGUUACCACCCAAAACAUUUUCAAGAGGGAGGGACUCAUCCUCCCAGCGACAGGGAGUGUUUCCAGAAGGAUCCCCCCCAGGGGACGCCCUUUCUGCGAAUUGUCCUGACUGGUGACAACGGUCUCCCCAGUCACAACUUCAGUGGCAGCCUGCAUCUAGGGACCUAGCCAACGUGGGGUAGAAAGGCCUGUAGGGUAAGGAAAAAGUAUCAGGCUUUUCUGCCCUCCCGCCAUUAGGAUAGAUGAGGGAACCCUGUGGUCCUGGAUGCCUGCCUGAUGGCGGGCACCUGAAGUGGGUACACCUGGGCUGAGAGACUGAGUUUAUAAGGGUGGCGUCGCGGGGACGCCAGCAGAAGCCAAGAAUGAACAGAAGCGGAGAGAAGAAGAGAACCAGAGAGAAUGCCAGAGAGCUCAGAUAGAGUGAGGAUUUGCUGGGGCUGGGAGGACUCCCAGCCUCCCGGCCCUGCAACACCCCUGCCUGCCAUGUGCCUGGUAAAUCUAAAUAAAAGAGCCGCAGAAGCCACUGAGGACUCUGACUCCUCCUUUACCCGGUCUGCUGGAUCAGAAAACCUGCACUGUGCCCCUUCCUGCCUCUACAGGUCGGAUCCGCAGUUUGGGAAAGGCCUCAAUCCUAAAACCACUGCUGUUUUUAUUUCCUGCAAACUAAUCCCAGAAUGUGUCUCCCAAGGAAUGGAGCCCAAGAUGUGUCCAGUCAGAGAAAGCAUCCUGGAAAGAGCUACAUCUGGCUGAGUUUGGGAAGCUAAAGAUAUCUCCCUGUUUUGAAAAGAAUGGAUUCUAGUUAUGGAUUCAUGUUACGCCACUUUGCUUUUACGAAAGACCUACAUUAGUACCUGUUUUUGUUAUCCCGAAGAGGAUCUCUCUUUUACGACAAAAGUUGAGAAACAAAAAUAGCGCGCAGUGUUUGCUCUUUGCCAGCUAUUCUGAAGACAGCACAUACCCCAAGCAAUGAGAGCGGUGCCUUCAAACUCCUCCUCUGGAACUAUCCUCAGCAUCUCAGCACCAACUGGAAGCUGACAAAGAUGAUGUUGAAGAGAUUUUGGCAUUCCAUAAACAAAACUGACAGAUGAAGGGCUGAUGCAAUUCCAAGAGGAAAGGAUAUGAAUCAAAACCAAACCAAACAGCAAAGGGCCCAAACGUGAAGUCACCUAGGAAGAGAAUGUAAAGCACUUGAGUGAAAUUUUCACUAUAGCUAACAGUGCUGCAGAGAUUGCAGAAAAGUAUGAUUUAAUUUUGAAAGGGAGGAUAGGUUUGCAGGGUAUCUUGAGUGCCUGCAAAGAAUUGUUUGAGAGAAAAAAUGUGUGAGGAUGAGCAGUGAAGAAACUGUCAUACUACCGACCCUCUACAUCAGCCACAGUAAAUGAAGAGUCUCAACUUUCUGCAUGGAGGCAGGUAGACAUAGAAGGGGCAGACGUUAGUGCCCUGCCUGCCCUGAUGGUUCAGAGGCUCACAAGAUGUUAAGAGAAGACUAUCUUCCUCUCUCCCUCACAACCCAGUCUCCUGGCCUCUGGGAACUCAGCCUGACACAUCACCAUCCCCACCUCUCAGCUUGCAGUGUGCACGCCUCUUUACCAAUUCUAGUAAGUGAAACUACACGGUACAUAUUUAUGUCUACUUUGUACAGGCUGUUUAUUUGCCAUAUUUUUAUGUAUAUUUUUCAUAUCAUUCCUGCUUUUACUAUAUGUCAGUUUACUAUAUGUCAGUUUACUAUAUGUUAGUUUACUAUAUGUAAGUUUUGUGUGUUAUUUGGUAUGCUUUGGUAGGUUAUUUUUUGGGUCUGAGUGUGCUCAGAAAAUUUUCUGCUGAAGUUGAUGGCAAUUGCUUCCUUGUUUUAGGCCAUUUCAGCUUAUGAAAGACUUCACAGGAACAUUCUACUUUUAGAUAGCAGGGGAAACCUGCAUACCCAUAUUUAUGCUUAAGUUAACUGUUGUGUAACAUACACACUUCAUAUUUUAACAAUUUAAAAUUGUUAAAGACAAUUUUAGGCAAACUGUUUUUACUAACAUAACGUCUCCUGGUAUUGCAGUGGGUUGUAAAUGAAAGGGCAGGUCACAUCUCCAUGGGAAUUACCUGGUACUGUUGUGAAAACAUUAGCCGAGCAUCCCCUGAAAGGGUGGCCUAACUGAGGAUUCAGUGGGGGUACUGCUGUCCAAAGUAGACAACAGAGUAACUGCUGGAGGAAUACCUCAUUUCUUACACUUUCUACAGCUGUGAAAGCUGCGGGUGACUUGGCUUUUGCUUCUGCACCAUUUCUUUUGGCAUAGAGUGCACUUGGCUCCCAUAAAGGCAGAGGUAUCUUUUCAACAUGAGAAAGUGCUGUCUAAGGCAGACUCAGGCUUGGACCCUGACACUUGAAGAGAGAAACAAAGCAAUACCGUCUCUCAAGACAGUAGCCUUGGGCACAAAGCAAUUAUCCUGCUGCCUAAAUUGUGACUGCCAAAGCUAAUUGCUACCUUGGUAAUUCUUUCUACCUUCUUUCUGUCACAAAAUCUAAUCUCCCUGAGGCAUUUUAUGGUAAAGGUCAUGUACUUGGGAAGGUAAAAAGGAAGAACAAUUUUAAACAGUUUAAAGUAUUCAGUACUCCUAUUAGAUUUACUUCUAUGGGAAGGUCCAUCCAAGUGGCAUACUGCGGUGUUGCAUGAGGAGAAUGCCUGCAGCUGGGAAGCCUC